UACGGAGGGGGCUAGCGUUGUUCGGAAUUACUGGGCGUAAAGCGCGCGUAGGCGGCUUUGUAAGUCAGAGGUGAAAAGCCUGGAGCUCAACUCCAGAACUGCCUUUGAGACUGCAUCGCUAGAAUCAUGGAGAGGUUAGUGGAAUUCCGAGUGUAGAGGUGAAAUUCGUAGAUAUCGGAAGAACACCAGUGGCGAAGGCGACUAACUGGACAUGUAUUGACGCUGAGGUGCGAAAGCGUGGGGAGCAAACAGGG
rnacentral:rRNA from 1 species